rnacentral:sRNA from 1 species
UGGCAAACCUGGUCGAAGCCGACUAUUCCUACUGGACCCUGGGCUAUGUCAUCUCUCUGGAAGGAGCACAGAAGCUGGUUGGAGCCAAUCCUUUUGGGAAGAUGCUGCCAGUGGAUGAGUUUCUGCCAAUCAUGUACAACAAGCAUCCUGUCCUCCUCUCAAGUCCUCACUGCCAUCUCUUCCAAACACUUUCUGAUGACUGCCAACGGUGAACAAACCAGUGCACCGUAGAAGGCAUUACCCCUCUGUGGCAGAGGUGGUCGUGUUCAUCAACUCCUCCAGGUUUCUCCUGCAUUUCCCACCUCCCCUGUACUCACAUCGGGGCCGGGGACUGGUCGAUGGGCUGUGAACAGAAGUGACAGGUGUCGCUUUGGUCUAAGGCAGCUGGGAACAGUUUGUGAGUUCUCUUUACUCUCUGUAUCAUCACUGUGACUGGAAGGGAAACACUGAGAUGGUGAAGUUGCAAGAUAGAAGCUGCCUGGAUCUGUGAGCUGCUGUUAAGAGAAAAGCUACUAAGGAGUUUCCUGACUUGCAUUACACUGUCCCAUGAAAGAAAAAAUAAACCUCGGUCUUAAGCUGUUGAAA